rnacentral:rRNA from 1 species
GUGAGGAAUAUUGGACAAUGGGUGAGAGCCUGAUCCAGCCAUCCCGCGUGAAGGACGACGGCCCUAUGGGUUGUAAACUUCUUUUGUAUAGGGAUAAACCUUUCCACGUGUGGAAAGCUGAAGGUACUAUACGAAUAAGCACCGGCUAACUCCGUGCCAGCAGCCGCGGUAAUACGGAGGGUGCAAGCGUUAUCCGGAUUUAUUGGGUUUAAAGGGUCCGUAGGCGGAUCUGUAAGUCAGUGGUGAAAUCUCAUAGCUUAACUAUGAAACUGCCAUUGAUACUGCAGGUCUUGAGUAAAGUAGAAGUGGCUGGAAUAAGUAGUGUAGCGGUGAAAUGCAUAGAUAUUACUUAGAACACCAAUUGCGAAGGCAGGUCACUAUGUUUUAACUGACGCUGAUGGACGAAAGCGUGGGGAGCGAACAGGAUUAGAAACCCUUGUAGUCC